AGUUUUUUGACGAAAAUGAAAACGUGUCAGUUUGUCGCUUUCACGAGGUUGGAGUAAUAACACGUUCAACUACUUCAAGACAUUGGCUCGGAUGUAGGUUGUGUCUUUAAUUGUCGAUAAAAAUUUAUAACUAAGGAAGAUUUUUUUUCACUUCUCUCAUUGACUUCUCAAACCCCGGCCUGGUCUGUUUCGCAAGCGUUCCCGGAAGUACCGGGAUGUUGCUCCUCUGGCUUUAGAAACUCUGUGUUAUCAAGGAGACGCUCCAUAUUAACUUCUCCACUGGAUUGGUUGAACAGUGCAGAAAACCUCUCUCGCCAGUUUAUUUUUUUCAACACCAGUAUGUGGGGGAUCUAGGUUCAGACUUUUUUUUAAAACAACGUAUUUUUCAUGGGAGGAAAACUGAGGGUCGGGUUUUAGGAUUUGUGUGACAGUUCUACUGCGCAAUCUCCGUAGAGGUCUGUCAGUCAGCUAUGCAGGGGGGAAAAUGGCGUAGAACUGGUUCCCGUAGAGCUCGCAAAGGGGUGUCGAAUACGUGGACCUUGCUCCACGGGACCCCUACAACGACCCAUUACCCCCGGGACAAUAGCAUUUACUGAUGAUUUUGGUGGCUUGGAAGAGUUUCAUCUGCCUCUCCAGCUUCUAGACAAGAUCAUCUCUGACAGUGCAACAACCUGUCCAGUAUUUGACAAAGAUGUGAAGUGAACGAGUGGCAAGACGUCGUGUGGAUUAUGUCCAGACCACAGCGCUCCACGUGAGACCGAUCCAGAUUUGGGGUAACAUCUCCCAAUGGUCACGCCCAGCUGUUGAGGCCAGAGAUGGAUCAAGAUCUCAACCUCCGCCACUAUAUGGCAGAGAACAGAGAGUGGACCGCUCCAGGGAUGUGUGGGGAUACAGGAGAGACUGGUAACAACAGAGAGCCCCAGGCUCAAUCUGUCUGUACCCUCUCUCCUCUAUCCUCAUCAAUCUGUCUCCACCAUUGCUUGUAGACAAUAAUGAUGAUUCCUGUCAAGUUUUGUCCUGUUACUUUCAUAACUAAGGAUCAAAUAUUAAAAUAUGUCGGCUAGUUGGUGGAAUCGUCCCCAGAAUUGGUCCCAUUUGCAUUAAGGUUAUUCACAGAAAUCUCACCAGGUUUUUCUUUCUGAAAUGGAUCUCUGUUCUACUGCCUUACUGCCCAAUAUAACCCCUUUGUCUGAAUAAAUCAAUUUAGCAUUAUAAUGAACAAAAUGUAGGUAUAGUUCAAGAUAUACUGCGGACAGUGGUUUGUUGUUGUUCUGAAAGCCCCAUUCCCAACCUUGACCAGUGGAGUAAAACUUAAGACAUACACUGCAAACUGUAGCAAAGAUCUCUUGUAGCCCCCUAAUCUCACGUGCCAGACCUUACUGCUACAGAGUAGGUUUGUUCUAGUAUAGUGUACCAUAUUCUGAGACUCGUCUGGCUCUGUGAGAUUACGUUAGUAGCCCCAUUAUGAUUGUUGAUCUAUGGUUGAAAGAUGUUAUUAUUGCUCUACCUCAUUGCCGUGUGUUGCACCAUGACAUUUUCUGUAUGAUAAUAACCAGUGUAAAGACAACAGUACACUAAUCCCGGUCCUAGAUAUGUAGGCUAAUGAAUAUCAUAGUUUCCCUUAAGACUACACAUCAUUUGAAGUAGGGACCAUAUAACGUACUGUACCAAAAGUCAAAGAUCGCAAUUCAUUCUUACACCAUAUUGAUUCAUUCUUACACCGUAUUGAUUCAUUCUUACACCGUAUUGAUUCAUUCUUACACCGUAUUGCACAUUUGAUAACCUUAUCAGAGUUUUUAUGAACGGCAUAGAGUCCCAGAUGAUGUUAUUUUAGUUAUAGGGCCGGUUUCCCAGACACACAGUCCUAGUCGAUGACUAAAAAGCAUGGAGAAUUUCCAUUGAAAAAGCUUUCUAGUCCAGGAUUAGGCUUAAUCUGUAUCUGGGAAACAGGCCCAUAGGGUUAAGGUAGGUUUAUAUUUCUGUUUCAUUAGGGCCGGUUUUGUUCUGCAUCAUUUGUGGUCCCCCACCUCCUUUCCUUCCGGGAUAAUGUGCAAUAUGGUAUCUUAUUACUUGUCUUGAUGUUGAUCUAAAUAUGUAAUAUUGUAUGAACAAGUGACAAGUUGUUUGAAAACAACAAAAUUACCAACGUCUUCCAUUAAGAAAUAUUGUAUAGUCUUCAUAUGCAUUAGCUUAUUUAGAGGGAUUGUGGUGCCAAUAUUAUAACUAGCCAUGCAUGAAAGGUAGCUAGUGAUGCUUGCUUACUGAUAAGGAAAUUCUAGAAACAUUGAUUUCUAAAAACAACAUGUUUGGGAGAAUGGUUAAAUUGUUAAAUCUAUUCGGAGUGAAUUAACCACAGAGAUACAAUUAUCUAGUACUAUCUAAAUUGUGUUCUAUGGAAUUGACACCUUAGAAUCAGACAUGAAGUGUUGACAUCCAAUGUGUUAGGCUGCAUUUACACAGGCAGCCCAAUUCAGAUCUUUUUCCACUAAUUGGUCUUUUGACCAAUCAGAUCGGCUAUUUUGCCAAUAAUUGGACAACAUAUUAAGAGUUGGGCUUUCCUGUGGAAACAUAGCCUUCGUCAUUGACCAAUAAAAUAAUGAUCUAGAAUAUGAGAAUAUAUUCAGUAAAAAGCAAGCAUUUGAUUAGAAAUGUUUAGAAGCAAUAAACAAUUCUGCACGAUUUUCAGGUUAUUUGAUCUAUUGUAAUCUCUGUUUAAAGGAAUGUUUAGUAUAUUACUAGCUACAUAAUCAACUUUGUGUUUAGAGGGAAGAGCCAUGGUGUAUACUCUGGUUUAGAAUGCAGUAUGUUCCAAGUAAGAACCACCCAACAGGGUGUGAAGUAUCACAUGUUGAAACAGAACGGCUGACCUUUGAAUUGGCAAAACAGUCUGUCUGUGUAUUCUGGGGCAAUUCAACGUUCAAGCUACAUCCCCUAUGGUACUAGUGCACUACUUUUGACCAAGGUCCAUAGAUACAGGGUCCAUAGGGCUCUGGUCAAAAGUAGUGCACUAUGUAGGGAAUAGGGUGCCAUUUGGGAGGUAGCCUCGGAAUCAUAGAGUAUCACUCUGUAAAGAACUAAGAACCACUGAUUUAGGAGGCCUGUGUUAAUUGCCUCUUUCAUGGUUUACAUUCUGUUAACAUGUUGCACCAUUGUCCAUAUCAAUCGAACUAUAUGUAUUCAUGUGAAUUAUUAUGCAUCCUUCCUAAUAAUUGAAAGCAAUAGAGCUGCCUCAAGGAGAAACGACUGAACAGAAAAUGCUGUAAAACUUUCUUUACAUGCAUGAAUUAAUUCACUACCAUCAUCCUGUCUUGAAUACUGUGUUCUAAAAACAAAUUUUAACGCUACAUAAUGUGGCAAUGGUUAGGAUAAGUAGCUCUAGAAUUUAUUGAUAAUUUAAACUAUAUUAAUGCGAGGAGAAAAGAUUAUGCAUGAUUUAAAAGUAAUCAAUUAUUUGUAUUGCAUGCAAUAAUCAAUUUCGUAAUUUGUGUUGAUCAAUAGAGCUAUGAUGCUGAAAGGUUGAUACUGUGGCACUAUGGUAUAAGUUAGUAAUAUGUUGACCUGUCUUGAAUAACAGGGAUGGUUGUUGACAUUACAGUGAACACACUGUACCCACUUGUUCUCCCGUUGUGAUAAAAGAUGUAUGACGUUGAUCGCAGCCUGAAAUCCAGUCUGUUUGUGCUAUAAUUGGGAUGACAAGGAGUGGGAUGACGGGGCGCAAAGACUGGAUUUCAGGCUGUUGAUCAAGUAUUACUAAUAACCAACAGAAUGAGUUGACUGUGGGUUGUGGUGUGACUAUCCACUCCAGAGAGAGGCCCUGGGCAUGCUGGAGCAACGGAGUCUCCCGUCUGUUUGUGUAUUAACUGAAGAAAUUUGCAUCAGAAAUUCAGCAAUAAAAAGCAGCAUGGUGCCAAUAGCA